GAUGAACGCUGGCGGCGUGCCUAACACAUGCAAGUCGAGCGGCAGCGAGGGGUGCUUGCACCCUGUCGGCGAGCGGCAGACGGCUGAGUAACGCGUGGGAACGUGCCCCAAAGUGAGGAAUAACUGCCCGAAAGGGUAGCUAAUACCGCAUAUUAUCUUCGGAUCAAAGGAUUUAUCCGCUUUGGGAGCGGCUCGCGUCGGAUUAGGUAGUUGGUGAGGUAAUGGCUCACCAAGCCGACGAUCCGUAGCUGGUCUGAGAGGAUGACCAGCCAGACUGGAACUGAGACACGGUCCAGACUCCUACGGGAGGCAGCAGUGAGGAAUCUUCCACAAUGGGCGAAAGCCUGAUGGAGCAACGCCGCGUGCAGGACGAAGGCCUUCGGGUUGUAAACUGCUUUUAUAAGUGAGGAAUAUGACGGUAACUUAUGAAUAAGGAUCGGCUAACUACGUG
rnacentral:rRNA from 1 species